GGGGGGGAAAGGCUCACCUUGGGGAAGACUCCCAAGGUGUUUGGAAGGAAGACCAACCCAAACGGGAAAUGAGACCGGUUCCAACUCUUAAGGGGAGGCAGCAGUGGGGAAAUUGCCCAAUGGGCGCAAGCUGAAUGCAGCCCUGCCGGGUGUAGAAGAAAGCCUUCGGGUUGUAAAGUACUUUAAGCGGGGAGAAAGGGGUAGAGGUUAAUAACCUUGGCGAAUGACGUUUACCCGCAGAAGAAGCACCGGCUAACUCGGUGCCAGCAGCGCCGGUAUAGGGAGGGUGCAGCGUUAUUUCGGAAUACUGGGGCGUAAAGCGCACGCAGGCGGUCUGUCAAGUUGGAUGUGAAAUCCCGGGCUCACCCCUGGGAAUUGCAUUCGAAACUGGCAGGCUAGAGUCUGGUAGAGGGGGGUAGAAUUCCAGGUGUAGCGGUGAAUGCGUAGAAGAUCUGGAGGAAUACCGGUGGCGAAGGCGGCCCCCUGGACAAAGACUGACGCUCAGGUGCGAAAGCGUGGGAGCAAACAGGAUUAGAUACCCUGGUAGUCCACGCCGUAAACGAUGUCGACUUGGAGGUUGUGCCCUUGAGGCGUGGCUUCCGGAGCUAACGCGUUAAGUCGACCGCCUGGGGAGUACGGCCGCAAGGUUAAAACUCAAAUGAAUUGACGGGGGCCCGCACAAGCGGUGGUGCAUGUGGUUAAUUCGAUGCAACGCGAAGAACCUUACCUACUCUUGACAUCCAGAGAACUUUCCAGAGAUGGAUUGGUGCCUUCGGGAACUCUGAGACAGGUGCUGCAUGGCUGUCGUCAGCUCGUGUUGUGAAAUGUUGGGUUAAGUCCCGCAACGAGCGCAACCCUUAUCCUUUGUUGCCUGCGGUACGUCCGGGCACUCAACGGAGACUGCCAGUGAUUAACUGGCGGAAGGUGGGGAUGUCCUCAAGUCAUCAUGCCCCUUACGAGUAGGGGUGCACACGUGCUACAAAGGCGCAUACAAAGACAAGCGACCUCGCGAGAGCAAGUCAGACCUCAUAAACUGCGUUGUAGUCCGGGUGUGAGUCUGCAACUCGACUCCAUGAAGUUGGUAUCGGUGGUAAUCGUAGAUCCGAUUGGUACGGUGACUACGUUCGAGAGUUUGAUCCUGGCUCAGGGCGCCGCAUCUGACCAAAUGCC
rnacentral:rRNA from 1 species